UUGGUUAAGUUAGAAAGGGCGCACGGUGGAUGCCUUGGCACUAGGAGCCGAAGAAGGACGGGACUAACACCGAUAUGCUUUGGGGAGCUGUACGUAAGCGUUGAUCCAGAGAUUUCCGAAUGGGGGAACCCACUAUCUUUAGUCGGAUAGUAUCCUUACGUGAAUACAUAGCGUGAGGAAGGCAGACCCAGGGAACUGAAACAUCUAAGUACCUGGAGGAAGAGAAAGAAAAAUCGAUUUCCUGAGUAGCGGCGAGCGAAACGGAAAGAGCCCAAACCAAGAAGCUUGCUUCUUGGGGUUGUAGGACACUCUAUACGGAGUUACAAAAGAAAGUUAUAAAUGAAGCGGUCUGGAAAGGCCCGCCAAAGACGGUAACAGCCCGGUAGUUGAAAUAGCUUUCCCUCCAGAGUGGAUCCUGAGUACGGCGGAACACGUGAAAUUCCGUCGGAAUCCGGGAGGACCAUCUCCCAAGGCUAAAUACUCCCUAGUGACCGAUAGUGAACCAGUACCGUGAGGGAAAGGUGAAAAGCACCCCGGAAGGGGAGUGAAACAGUUCCUGAAACCGUGUGCCUACAAGUAGUUAGAGCCCGUUAAUGGGUGAUAGCGUGCCUUUUGUAGAAUGAACCGGCGAGUUACGAUUUGUUGCAAGGUUAAGCGGAAAAAGCGGAGCCGUAGCGAAAGCGAGUCUGAAUAGGGCGCAUAAGUAACAGGUCGUAGACCCGAAACCAGGUGAUCUACCCAUGUCCAGGAUGAAGGUAAGGUAAUACUUACUGGAGGUCCGAACCCACGCACGUUGAAAAGUGCGGGGAUGAGGUGUGGGUAGCGGAGAAAUUCCAAUCGAACUUGGAGAUAGCUGGUUCUCUCCGAAAUAGCUUUAGGGCUAGCCUCGAGGUAAAGAGUCAUGGAGGUAGAGCACUGUUUGGACUAGGGGCCCUUCUCGGGUUACCGAAUUCAGAUAAACUCCGAAUGCCAUGUACUUAUACUCGGGAGUCAGACUGCGAGUGAUAAGAUCCGUAGUCGAAAGGGAAACAGCCCAGACCACCAGUUAAGGUCCCCAAAUAUAUGUUAAGUGGAAAAGGAUGUGGGGUUGCUUAGACAACCAGGAUGUUGGCUUAGAAGCAGCCACCAUUGAAAGAGUGCGUAAUAGCUCACUGGUCGAGUGACCCCGCGCCGAAAAUGUACCGGGGCUAAACAUAUUACCGAAACUGUGGAUGAACCUCUUUAGAGGUUCGUGGUAGGAGAGCGUUCUAAGGGCGGUGAAGUCAGACCGGAAGGACUGGUGGAGCGCUUAGAAGUGAGAAUGCCGGUAUGAGUAGCGAAAGAAGGGUGAGAAUCCCUUCCACCGAAUAUCUA
rnacentral:rRNA from 1 species